rnacentral:rRNA from 1 species
UACAGAGGUCUCAAGCGUUGUUCGGAUUCAUUGGGCGUAAAGGGUGUGUAGGUGGCGCCGUAAGUCGGGUGUGAAAUUUCGGAGCUUAACUCCGAAACUGCAUUCGAUACUGCGGUGCUUGAGGACUGGAGAGGAGACUGGAAUUCAUGGUGUAGCAGUGAAAUGCGUAGAGAUCGGGAGGAACACCGGUGGCGAAGGCGGGUCUCUGGACAGUUCCUGACGCUGAGGCACGAAGGUCAGGGGAGCAAACGGG